UUCCUGGUGGCUGAGACGGGAAAGAAUCUGCCUGCAAUGCAGGAGACCCAGGUUCGAUCCCUGGGUUGGGAA
rnacentral:tRNA from 1 species